rnacentral:rRNA from 1 species
GACGAACGCUGGCGGCGUGCUUAACACAUGCAAGUCGAACGGAAAGGCCCUGCUUUUGUGGGGUGCUCGAGUGGCGAACGGGUGAGUAACACGUGAGUAACCUGCCCUUGACUUUGGGAUAACUUCAGGAAACUGGGGCUAAUACCGGAUAGGAGCUCCUGCUGCAUGGUGGGGGUUGGAAAGUUUCGGCGGUUGGGGAUGGACUCGCGGCUUAUCAGCUUGUUGGUGGGGUAGUGGCUUACCAAGGCUUUGACGGGUAGCCGGCCUGAGAGGGUGACCGGGCACAUUGGGACUGAGAAACGGGCAGGACUCCUACGGGGGGCAGCAGUGGGGAAUAUUGCACAAUGGGCGGAAGGCUGAUGCAGCAACGCCGCGUGCGGGAUGACGGCCUUCGGGUAGUAAACCGCUUUCGCCUGUGACGAAGCGUGAGUGACGGUAAUGGGUAAAGAAGCACCGGCUAACUACGUG